rnacentral:rRNA from 1 species
AGAGUUUGAUCAUGGCUCAGAACGUACGCUGGCGGCACGCCUUAUACAUGCAAGUCGAACGAAGUAGCAAUACUUAGUGGCAGACGGGUGAGUAACAUGUAGGUAUCUUCCCUUUGGUGAGGAAUAACACGAGGAAACUUGUGCUAAUACCUCAUAAGUCUUUACAGAGAAAGCUUUAUGCGCCGAAGGAUGAGCCUGCACUUGAUUAGUUUGUUGGUGGGGUAAUGGCUCACCAAGACUUUGAUCAAUAGCUGAUCUGAGAGGAUGAUCAGCCACAUUGGGACUGAGACACGGCCCAAACUCCUACGGGAGGCAGCAGUAGGGAAUAUUGCACAAUGGAGGAAACUCUGAUGCAGCGAUGCCGCGUGAGUGAAGAAGGCCUUUGGGUUGUAAAGCUCUUUCGUCGGGGAAGAAAAUGACUGUACCCGAAUAAGAAGGUCCGGCUAACUUCGUGCCAGCAGCCGCGGUAAUACGAAGGGACCUAGCGUAGUUCGGAAUUACUGGGCUUAAAGAGUUCGUAGGUGGUUAAAAAAGUUGGUGGUGAAAUCCCAGAGCUUAACUCUGGAACUGCCAUCAAAACUUUUUAGCUAGAGUAUGAUAGAGGAAAGCAGAAUUUCUAGUGUAGAGGUGAAAUUCGUAGAUAUUAGAAAGAAUACCAAUUGCGAAGGCAGCUUUCUGGAUCAUUACUGACGCUGAGGAACGAAAGCAUGGGUAGCGAAGAGGAUUAGAUACCCUCGUAGUCCAUGCCGUAAACGAUGUGUGUUAGACGUUGGAAAUUUAUUUUCAGUGUCGCAGCGAAAGCAUUAAACACACCGCCUGGGGAGUACGACCGCAAGGUUAAAACUCAAUGAAUUGACGGGGACCCGCACAAGUAGUGGAGCAUGUGGUUUAAUU